rnacentral:rRNA from 1 species
CCUACGGGAGGCAGCAGUAAGGAAUAUUGGUCAAUGGGCGGAAGCCUGAACCAGCCAUGCCGCGUGCAGGAAGACGGCCCUACGGGUUGUAAACUGCUUUUGUACCGGAAUAAACCUUGAUAUGUAUAUCAAGCUGAAUGUACGGUAAGAAUAAGGAUCGGCUAACUCCGUGCCAGCAGCCGCGGUAAUACGGAGGAUCCAAGCGUUAUCCGGAUUUAUUGGGUUUAAAGGGUGCGUAGGUGGCUUAUUAAGUCAGGGGUGAAAGACGGUAGCUUAACUAUCGCAGUGCCUUUGAUACUGAUGAGCUUGAAUCCACUAGAGGUAGGCGGAAUGUGACAAGUAGCGGUGAAAUGCAUAGAUAUGUCACAGAACACCAAUUGCGAAGGCAGCUUACUAUGGUGGUAUUGACACUGAGGCACGAAAGCGUGGGGAUCAAACAGGAUUAGAUACCCUGGUAGUCCACGCCCUAAACGAUGAAUACUCGAUGUUGGCGAUAUACGGUCAGCGUCUAAGCGAAAGCGUUAAGUAUUCCACCUGGGGAGUACGCCGCAAGGGUUGAAACUUAGAAGUUAGUGCGNGNGNGNGCGACGACGACGACGACGGAGGAGGNGG